GACGAACGCUGGCGGCGUGCCUAAUACAUGCAAGUAGGACGCAGUUGCGAACGGGUGAGUAACGCGUAGGUAACUACCUAUUAGAGGGGGGUAACUAUUGGAAACGAUCGCUAAUACCGCAUACUAGUAGAUGGACCUGCGUUGUAUUAGCUAGUAGGUAGGGUAAUGUCCUACAUAGGCAAAGAUACCUAGCCGAGCUGUGAGGGGGAUGGGACAAACUGGGACUGAGACACAGGCCAGACUCCUACGGGAGGCAGCAGUAGGGAAUCUUCGGCAAUGGGGGGAACCCUGACCGAGCAACGCCGCGGGAGUGAAGAAGGUUUUCGGAUCGUAAAGCUCUGUUGUUAAGGAAGCGGUACUUAACCAGAAAGCGACGGCUAACUACGUGCCAGCAGCCGCGGUAAUAC
rnacentral:rRNA from 1 species